UGUUAUUUUAUUUUCUAAGAAGAGAAAAUUAAUAUAAAUUUUAACCUAUAUUGAGCAUCACUGCAAUAAUGAUGCAUAACUUCCAGUAAAAAGCCACACAAAGAAAAUCCUGUUCUUUCAAGUUUUCCAAGGUUGGCAUGUGGACAGAUUUUUUUGGAAGCAAUCUUAUAUCUCACUGUCUCCCUUAAAUCACUGGCCAAGCACUGAUUUUAAUCCAAUACGCAGAAGGGUGACUUUUUUUUUUCUUUUGAAUUAUCAUAGCACAUAUGAUAUAAACUCUGGCAGUGGAAGAAGGCAAUGACAAAAAGAUUUCUCUUUGUAAACAUCUUUAAUAGACUUCAAGCAAGCAUUGAAUUCAUUCAUUCAACCACAUAAACAGACAGAAUUGCAUGCAUACAAUAUAGUUUUAACAUACAUCAUUAGCGUAACUAACAAAGGGAAGUAUCUUACUCCAGGAUAGUGUUGCAAUAUCGGAGAAUAAUGAUCCAGGGCUAUGUAUAUUUUUUCAAGAAGGCUUAAAAGAGCAUCCACCUCGUCACCUAAAAGAUCAACCUGAGAUUCAAGAAAAAUUCAAUAAACUAAUUGAAAAGAUAUGCCACGCACACAACUAACAAUCUCAAAAUAUUUGGAAAUAGGAACGAAUAUAUACUUUAAACAUUUGCUUUAAGAAAAGAAGACCACUAUAUUGGUAAAUUAUACACUUGAUAGCUCAUUAGAUACAAACAAGAAGUGGCAUCACAAAUUUUCCACAAAAUAUGACAACUUUAUUACAAG
rnacentral:lncRNA from 1 species